CAGCAGCCGCGGUAAAACGAGGGGGGCAAGCGUUGUUCGGAAUUAUUGGGCGUAAAGGGUGCGUAGGCGGCUUGACAAGUCUUGUGUGAAAUCUAUGGGCUCAACCCAUAGUCUGCACGGGAAACUGUCGGGCUUGAGAAUGGGAGAGGUGAGUGGAAUUUCCGGUGUAGCGGUGAAAUGCGUAGAUAUCGGAAGGAACACCUGUGGCGAAAGCGGCUCACUGGACCAUUUCUGACGCUGAUGCACGAAAGCUAGGGGAGCAAACAGGAUUAGAACCCCGGUAGUCCCUGUCUCUUAUACA
rnacentral:rRNA from 1 species